CAGAGGGUGCAAACGUUGUUCGGAAUCACUGGGCAUAAAGCGCACGUAGGCGGCCUCGCAAGUGUCGGAUGAAAUCCCACGGCUUACCCGUGGAACGGUCCGGCAUACUGCGGGGCUAGAGGAUGGUAGAGGAGAGCGGAACUCUUGGUGGAGCGGUGAAAUGCGUAGAUAUCAAGAGGAACACCGGUGGCGAAGGCGGCUCUCUGGUCCAUGUCUGACGCUGAGGUGCGAAAGCCAGGGGAGCAAACGGGAUUAGAUACCCCGGUAGUCCUGGCCGUAAACGAUGGGCACUAACUAGAAGUCUCACCUGUGGGAUUUCUGGUGGAGCAAAUGUGAUAAGUGCCCCGCCUGGGAAGUAUGGUCGCAAGGCUA
rnacentral:rRNA from 1 species